UGACCUCGGAUCAGGUAGGGAUACCCGCUGAACUUAAGCAUAUCAAUAAGCGGAGGAAAAGAAACCAACAGGGAUUACCUCAGUAACGGCGAGUGAAGCGGUAACAGCUCAAAUUUGAAAUCUGGCCUCACGGUCCGAGUUGUAAUUUGUAGAGGAUGCUUCGAGCAUGGUCUGGCCUAAGUUCCUUGGAACAGGACGUCAUAGAGGGUGAGAAUCCCGUAUGCGGCCAGGUGCCUACGCUCAUGUGAAGCUCCUUCGACGAGUCGAGUUGUUUGGGAAUGCAGCUCAAAAUGGGUGGUAAAUUUCAUCUAAAGCUAAAUAUUGGCCAGAGACCGAUAGCGCACAAGUAGAGUGAUCGAAAGAUGAAAAGCACUUUGGAAAGAGAGUUAAACAGUACGUGAAAUUGUUGAAAGGGAAGCGCUUGCAACCAGACUUGCGCGCGGCCGAUCAUCCGGUGUUCUCACCGGUGCACUCGGCCGUGCUCAGGCCAGCAUCGGUUUUGGCGGCUGGAUAAAGGCCCUAGGAAUGUAGCUCCUCUCGGGGAGUGUUAUAGCCUAGGGUGCAAUGCAGCCUGCUGGGACCGAGGACCGCGCUUCGGCUAGGAUGCUGGCGUAAUGGUUGUAAGCGGCCCGUCUUGAAACACGGACCAAGGAGUCUAACAUCUAUGCGAGUGUUUGGGUGUCAAACCCAUACGCGUAAUGAAAGUGAACGGAGGUGAGAACCCUUAAGGGUGCAUCAUCGACCGGUCCUGAAGUUUACGGAAGGAUCUGAGUAAGAGCAUAGCUGUUGGGACCCGAAAGAUGGUGAACUAUGCCUGAAUAGGGUGAAGCCAGAGGAAACUCUGGUGGAGGCUCGCAGCGGUUCUGACGUGCAAAUCGAUCGUCAAAUUUGGGUAUAGGGGCGAAAGACUAAUCGAACCAUCUAGUAGCUGGUUCCUGCCGAAGUUUCCCUCAGGAUAGCAG
rnacentral:ncRNA from 1 species